CCUACGGGUGGCAGCAGUGAGGAAUAUUGGUCAAUGGACGAGAGUCUGAACCAGCCAAGUAGCGUGAAGGAUGACUGCCCUAUGGGUUGUAAACUUCUUUUAUAUGGGAAUAAAAUGUUCCACGUUUGGGAUUUUGUAUGUACCAUAUGAAUACGGAUCGGCUAACUCCGUGCCAGCAGCCGCGGUAAUACGGAGGAUCCGAGCGUUAUCCGGAUUUAUUGGGGUUAAAGGGAGCGUAGGUGGAUUGUUAAGUCAGUUGUGACAGUUUGCGGCUCAACCGUAAAAUUGCAGUUGAAACUGGCAGGCUUGAGUACAGUAGAGGUGGGCGGAAUUCGUGGUGUAGCGGUGAAAUGCUUAGAUAUCACGAAGAACUCCGAUUGCGAAGGCAGCUCACUGGACUGCAACUGACACUGAGGCUCGAAAGUGUGGGUAUCAAACAGGAUUAGAUACCCCGGUAGUC
rnacentral:rRNA from 1 species